CUACGGGGCGCAGCAGUGAGGAAUAUUGCACAAUGGGGGGAACCCUGAUGCAGCAACGCCGCGUGGGGGAUGACGCAGUUCGGUGUGUAAACUCCUUUUAUAUGUCAAGAAAAUGACGGUAGCAUAUGAAUAAGCACCGACUAACUCCGUGCCAGCAGCCGCGGUAAUACGGAGGGUGCAAGCGUUACUCGGAAUCACUGGGCGUAAAGGACGCGUAGGCGGGUUGGAAAGUCAGGUGUGAAAUCCUACAGCUUAACUGUAGAACUGCACUUGAAACUUCUAAUCUAGAGUAUGGGAGGGGGAGAUGGAAUUAGUGGUGUAGGGGUAAAAUCCGUAGAUAUCACUAGGAUUACCUAAAGCGAAGGCGAUCUCCUGGAACAUUACUGACGCUAAGGCGUGAAAGCGUGGGGAGCAAACAGGAUUAGAUACCCUCGUAGUC
rnacentral:rRNA from 1 species